CCUACGGGUGGCAGCAGUGGGGAAUAUUGCACAAUGGGGGAAACCCUGAUGCAGCGACGCCGCGUGAGUGAAGAAGUAUUUCGGUAUGUAAAGCUCUGUCAGCAGGGAAGAAAAUGACGGUACCUGACCAAGCAGCCCCGGCUAACUGCGUGCCAGCAGCCGCGGUAAUACGUAGGGGGCAAGCGUUGUCCGGAUUUACUGGGUGUAAAGGGCGUGCAGCCGGGAAGACAAGUCAGAUGUGAAAUCCCGCGGCUCAACCGCGGAACUGCAUUUGAAACUGGUUUUCUUGAGUACAGGAGAGGUCAUCGGAAUGCCUGGUGUAGCGGUGAAAUGCGUAGAUAUAAGGAAGAACACCAGUGGCGAAGGCGGAUGACUGGACGGCAACUGACGGUGAGGCGCGAAAGCGUGGGGAGCAAACAGGAUUAGAUACCCUUGUAGUC
rnacentral:rRNA from 1 species